rnacentral:rRNA from 1 species
CCUACGGGCGGCUGCAGUGAGGAAUAUUGGUCAAUGGACGAGAGUCUGAACCAGCCGAGUAGCGUGAAGGAUGACUGCCCUAUGGGUUGUAAACUUCUUUUAUAUGGGAAUAAAACGUUCCACGUGUGGGAUUUUGUAUGUACCAUAUGAAUAAGGAUCGGCUAACUCCGUGCCAGCAGCCGCGGUAAUACGGAGGAUCCGAGCGUUAUCCGGAUUUAUUGGGUUUAAAGGGAGCGUAGGUGGAUUGUUAAGUCAGUUGUGAAAGUUUGCGGCUCAACCGUAAAAUUGCAGUUGAAACUGGCAGUCUUGAGUACAGUAGAGGUGGGCGGAAUUCGUGGUGUAGCGGUGAAAUGCUUAGAUAUCACGAAGAACUCCGAUUGCGAAGGCAGUUCACUGGACUGCAACUGACACUGAGGCUCGAAAGUGUGGGUAUCAAACAGGAUUAGAUACCCGUGUAGUC